AUGGGGCUCAAGAAGCCGCAGCCGGCGCCGGAGCCGGAGCCGGAGCCGCAGGUGCUAGUGCCGCCCGUCUUCGACUUCCCUCCCUUGGCCGCCCGCACCAGGAUGUUGGUCCCGGCAUAUGAGCUCAUGUUCGGGAAGCUCGCGCGACGCAGCCUCUUUGAUGACUAUUUCCAUUCUGGGGGAGUGGACGCGCAUAUUGUGUUGAAGCAGUUGGGAGAUUCUCAUGCUCAUCUGAAUGCCACUAUGUCGACAAAUGGGGGGGAAGCUCACUUUCGAUGGCAGAGGGAUUUGAACGACCCCCAUACAUUUGUGGACUUACUUGUGUCAACUUUGAAACCUACAAUGCGGCUGUCUUCAAGCGUUUACUAUCCCAAGUAUGGUAUUGGCGCCUUUGGGACGUUCCCUUUGAAUAUGGCAAACAGAGCAUGCUCAGCAGAUUAUGGCGUCAUGGGUUUAAGAUAUGGUUCAGAGAAUCUAUCAAUUGGGGCCUCCUUCGUCCCAUUUCCUUCGCCUGGUGAGGUACCCUACGAUGCAUGGUUGGCUGGGAGAAAAGGGAAUUUAAGUGCAGGCGUACAAUACAAACCACUAGGUUUGUGUUACUAA
rnacentral:rRNA from 1 species